AGCCGAACGUGAAAGCACUUCGGUGUGAGUAGAGUGGCGGACGGGUGAGUAACGCGUGGGAAUCUGCCCAGUAGUGGGGGACAACUACCGGAAACGGUAGCUAAUACCGCAUACGCCCUAUGGGGGAAAGGCUUCGGCCGCUAUUGGAUGAGCCCGCGUCAGAUUAGCUAGUUGGUAGGGUAAAGGCCUACCAAGGCAACGAUCUGUAGCUGGUCUGAGAGGACGAACAGCCACACUGGGACUGAGACACGGCCCAGACUCCUACGGGAGGCUGCAGCAGGGAAUAUUGCGCAAUGAGCGAAAGCUUGACGCAGCGACACCGCGUGUGGGAUGACGGAUCUAGGUUUGUAAACCACUUUCAGGAGGGAAGAAAAUGACGGUACCUCCACAAGAAGCCCCGGCCAACUACGUGCCAGCAGCCGCGGCAAUACGUAGGGGGCGAGCGUUGUCCGGAUUUAUUGGGCGUAAAGAGCUCGUAGGCGGUUCAACAAGUCGGUCGUGAAAGUUCAGGGCUCAACCCUGAAAUGUCGAUCGAUACUGUUGUGACUAGGAUACGGUAGAGGUGAGUGGAAUUCCGAGUGUAGCGGUGAAAUGCGUAGAUAUUCGGAGGAACACCAAUUGCGAAGGC
rnacentral:rRNA from 1 species